UACGUAGGGGGCUAGCGUUGUCCGGAAUCAUUGGGCGUAAAGCGCGCGUAGGCGGCCCGGUAAGUCCGCUGUGAAAGUCAAAGGCUCAACCUUUGAAUGUCAGCGGAUACUGCCGGGCUAGAGUCCGGAAGAGGCGAGUGGAACUCCUGGUGUAGCGGUGGAAUGCGCAGAUAUCAGGAAGAACACCAACGGCGAAGGCAGCCCGCUGGGACGGAACUGACGCUGAGGCGCGAAAGCGUGGGGAGCGAACAGG
rnacentral:rRNA from 1 species